rnacentral:rRNA from 1 species
AGGAUGAACGCGUGGCGGCGUGACCCUCAAAACAUAGCAAGUCGAGCGAGGCUAUGAAUUACCGCAAGGUAAGGCAUAGCCUAGCGGCGAACGGGUGAGUAACACGUGGGUAACCUACCUGGAAGACAGGGAUAACGAUUCGAAAGGGUCGCUAAUACCUGAUAAUAUCCAUCUGCCGGAUGGCGGAGGGAAGAAAGGGGAAACCCGCUUUCAGAUGGGCCCGCGUCCCAUCAGCUAGUUGGUAAGGUAAAGGCUUACCAAGGCGACGACGGGUAGCCGGUCUGAGAGGAUGUACGGCCACACUGGGACUGAGAUACGGCCCAGACUCCUACGGGAGGCAGCAGUUGGGAAUCUUAGGCAAUGGACGAAAGUCUGACCUAGCGACGCCGCGUGAGGGAAGAAGGCCUUCGGGUUGUAAACCUCUGUCAUGGGGGAAGAAGGAAGUGACGGUACCCCAAGAGGAAGCCCCUGCUAACUACGUG